rnacentral:rRNA from 1 species
GAUUAGUGGCGAACGGGUGAGUAACACGUGGGCAAUCUGCCCUGCACUCUGGGACAAGCCCUGGAAACGGGGUCUAAUACCGGAUAUGACCGUCUGCCGCAUGGUGGAUGGUGUAAAGCUCCGGCGGUGCAGGAUGAGCCCGCGGCCUAUCAGCUUGUUGGUGAGGUAGUGGCUCACCAAGGCGACGACGGGUAGCCGGCCUGAGAGGGCGACCGGCCACACUGGGACUGAGACACGGCCCAGACUCCUACGGGAGGCAGCAGUGGGGAAUAUUGCACAAUGGGCGAAAGCCUGAUGCAGCGACGCCGCGUGAGGGAUGACGGCCUUCGGGUUGUAAACCUCUUUCAGCAGGGAAGAAGCGAAAGUGACGGUACCUGCAGAAGAAGCGCCGGCUAACUACGUGCCAGCAGCCGCGGUAAUACGUAGGGCGCAAGCGUUGUCCGGAAUUAUUGGGCGUAAAGAGCUCGUAGGCGGCUUGUCACGUCGGUUGUGAAAGCCCGGGGCUUAACCCCGGGUCUGCAGUCGAUACGGGCAGGCUAGAGUUCGGUAGGGGAGAUCGGAAUUCCUGGUGUAGCGGUGAAAUGCGCAGAUAUCAGGAGGAACACCGGUGGCGAAGGCGGAUCUCUGGGCCGAUACUGACGCUGAGGAGCGAAAGCGUGGGGAGCGAACAGGAUUAGAUACCCUGGUAGUCCACGCCGUAAACGGUGGGCACUAGGUGUGGGCAACAUUCCACGUUGUCCGUGCCGCAGCUAACGCAUUAAGUGCCCCGCCUGGGGAGUACGGCCGCAAGGCUAAAACUCAAAGGAAUUGACGGGGGCCCGCCACAAGCGGCGGAGCAUGUGGCUUAAUUCGACGCAACGCGAAGAACCUUACCAAGGCUUGACAUACACCGGAAACGUCUGGAGACAGGCGCCCCCUUGUGGUCGGUGUACAGGUGGUGCAUGGCUGUCGUCAGCUCGUGUCGUGAGAUGUUGGGUUAAGUCCCGCAACGAGCGCAACCCUUGUCCCGUGUUGCCAGCAGGCCCUUGUGGUGCUGGGGACUCACGGGAGACCGCCGGGGUCAACUCGGAGGAAGGUGGGGACGACGUCAAGUCAUCAUGCCCCUUAUGUCUUGGGCUGCACACGUGCUACAAUGGCCGGUACAAUGAGCUGCGAUACCGUGAGGUGGAGCGAAUCUCAAAAAGCCGGUCUCAGUUCGGAUUGGGGUCUGCAACUCGACCCCAUGAAGUCGGAGUCGCUAGUAAUCGCAGAUCAGCAUUGCUGCGGUGAAUACGUUCCCGGGCCUUGUACACACCGCCCGUCACGUCACGAAAGUCGGUAACACGCCGAAGCCGGUGGCCCAACCC